ACUCUAAAACUUGUUGAUCCCAG
rnacentral:piRNA from 1 species